CAGUCGAACGGAGUUACGAUGAAACCUAGUGAUUCGUAACUUAGUGGCGGACCGGUGAGUAACGCGUGGAUAACCUGCCUUACACUGGGGGAUAACACUUAGAAAUAGGUGCUAAUACCGCAUAAGCGCACGGAGCCGCAUGGCUUAGUGUGAAAAACUCCGGUGGUGUAAGAUGGAUCCGCGUCUGAUUAGCUGGUUGGCGGGGUAGAAGCCCACCAAGGCGACGAUCAGUAGCCGGCCUGAGAGGGUGAACGGCCACAUUGGGACUGAGACACGGCCCAAACUCCUACGGGAGGCAGCAGUGGGGAAUAUUGCACAAUGGGGGAAACCCUGAUGCAGCGACGCCGCGUGAGUGAAGAAGUCAUUCGUGAUGUAAAGCUCUAUCAGCAGGGAAGAAAAUGACGGUACCUGAGUAAGAAGCCCCGGCUAACUACGUGCCAGCAGCCGCGGUAAUACGUAGGGGGCAAGCGUUAUCCGGAUUUACUGGGUGUAAAGGGAGCGUAGACGGCCAGACAAGUCUGGAGUGAAAAUCCAGCGCUUAACGUUGGAAGUGCUUUGGAAACUGCCGGGCUAGAGUGCAGGAGGGGCAGGCGGAAUUCCUAGUGUAGCGGUGAAAUGCGUAGAUAUUAGGAGGAACACCAGUGGCGAAGGCGGCCUGCUGGACUGCAACUGACGUUGAGGCUCGAAGGCGUGGGGAGCAAACAGGAUUAGAUACCCUGGUAGUCCACGCGGUAAACGAUGAUUACUAGGUGUCGGGGGGCUAGAGCCCUUCGGUGCCGUCGCAAACGCAAUAAGUAAUCCACCUGGGGAGUACGUUCGCAAGA
rnacentral:rRNA from 1 species